UCGGGAAUUUUGGGCAAUGGGCGAAAGCCUGACCCAGCAACGCCGCGUGAAGGAUGAAGUAUUCCGGUAUGUAAACUUCGAAAGAAUAGGAAGAAUAAAUGACGGUACUAUUUAUAAGGUCCGGCUAACUACGUGCCAGCAGCCGCGGUAAUACGUAGGGACCAAGCGUUGUUCGGAUUUACUGGGCGUAAAGGGCGCGUAGGCGGCAAUUCAAGUCAUCUGUGAAAUCUCCGGGCUUAACUCGGAACGGUCAGAUGAUACUGCUUUGCUAGAGUGCAGAAGGGGCAAUCGGAAUUCUUGGUGUAGCGGUGAAAUGCGUAGAUAUCAAGAGGAACACCUGAGGCGAAGGCGGGUUGCUGGGCUGAUACUGACGCUGAGGCGCGAAAGCUAGGGUAGCAAACGGGAUUAGAUACCCCAGUAGUCCCUGAGCGGGCUGGCAAGGCGCAU
rnacentral:rRNA from 1 species